rnacentral:rRNA from 1 species
UACGUAGGUGGCAAGCGUUGUCCGGAAUUACUGGGUGUAAAGGGAGCGCAGGCGGGAAGCCAAGUCAGCUGUGAAAACUACGGGCUUAACUUGUAGACUGCAGUUGAAACUGGUUUUCUUGAGUGAAGUAGAGGUUGGCGGAAUUCCGAGUGUAGCGGUGAAAUGCGUAGAUAUUCGGAGGAACACCGGUGGCGAAGGCGGCCAACUGGGCUUUAACUAACGCUGAGGCUCGAAAGUGUGGGGAGCAAACAGG